AAAAAGAAAAGAAGGAAUAAAAAAAAAUUAAAAGAAGAAUAAGAGGAGGACACGGGCAGACUGGUGGAAGGAGGAAAUAGAAUAAGAAAAUAAAGAAAAAGAGAAGAGUGCGGGAUAAGAAGCAGUGGAGGGUGGUUUGAAAAGAAAAUAAAAAAAUAGAAAUAAAGGGGACAAGUGGGAGAAACACUGACAGAUAAAAAGAAUAAAAGAGGAGGAACGCGGAAAGGAAUGAGGGGGAGAAAGGGGCUGCCCUUUGGGCAGCUCGCAGAGACGCAGGAAGGAGAGAAGCUCGCAGGGACGCAAGGCAGUGUGACGCGGGUAGACUGACGGAAGGGGAAAUAAUAUAGGAGCAGGAGAGAGGAGGCGCGGAAGUGGAAGGCAGAGAGCUGCCUUUGGGCAGCGUGAGAAGGCGAGAGGAGAGAGGUCAGGGGAGGGCAGACUUGAUUUGAGGGAGCUGCCAGCGCAGCUGGGGAAGAAGGCUGCCCUUGCAGCUGGAGCAAAACCGAAAGAAGGGUGCGCUGCUCUUGGCAGCACCGAGGGCAGAAAAUGGCAGCGCACGGACAAACAGACAGCUCUUCUCUCCUCUCGGUUAAAUCUUUCCAACUUAUGUUUUACUUUCGGUUUAAUUUUUCCAAACUUCUCUUUUAUUUCUGUUUUUAAUAAUGUGUAAUUAAAUUUAUGUUGGUUAGAGGUUAAUUCGAAACCAUGAAUAUAUUUGUAAUAUGAAUUGAUUACCUUCGGUUGUGAUUUCAUAAGUUGUGAUUUCAAUUUACUUAUCCGUUCGUAUAAAAACUGAUUUGUGUAUGUUGGUUGAGAGUGCACGCUUAAUUUACAUGCAUGAAUUUGAUGCUAGAAUAUAAGUGAAUUUCACCUAAUCGUUAUGAACUUAUUUUCACAAGUAGUAAAGGUUGCUAGUCACAAUCACGUUAAGUAAAUUCUUGGCAAGAGUAUCAUGCUUUUCAUAGUUACGAAUGCCUCGUCAAUACUUAUAGUUUUCACAAAGUUUAAUGAUCUUUGAUUGUAUCUCUAUUGUGCUUUUCACGUAGGGGACUUUUGAAGAAUGUUUUGAAUUGUUGUAUGCGUUUUCCCGUCCAAUUCAAUAACUUAAGGAAAACUUGAAGAUUAAAAAAAGUGCUGUUCACGGUUAAUCUGGAGUAUUGAAAUUCACAAUUUAUUAAAUGAACAACUGGAAAUCAUUUUGUAUGCAAGUAUAACAUGUGUGAAGAAGAACCCUCUAGCUAGUCCGUCAUUUAUCAUUUUACCUUAAUUUUAUGUUUUUAUCAAUUCUGUAAUUUAAUUAAGUUUAAUUUACUUUUCAUCAAAACCAAACACCCAUCCAUUAUUAAAUUAUAUUAUUUAGUUAGUUUGCUUUAUUGUUAGUCUUUUAAUUUAAUUUCCGUCCAUUUCAGUUCUUAGUGUCUAAUCAGAUCAUUUUCAUUAUUUUGAGUCAUCCUAAGUGUGUUUCGAGUUAUUAGAGUUUUUAGCCUAGUUUUGUAUCAUUGAGUCUUGUUUAAUAUUUUUUAAAUUAAUUUAGAAUAGAUUAGCAAUCCCUCCUAAUCCCCGGCCUAGAACGAUACCCUACUUACAUCUAUACUACAAUUGUCAAAAAGAGGGUUUAAUUUGUGUGUCAAGUAAUUCUCACAUCAAAUUUUGGCGCCGUUGCCGGGGAUUAGCAACUUUGCUAAUCCUUUUAUUUUUGUUUUUGUUUAUGUUUAUAUUGGUGUUUGUGUAUUUUACUUUUGAUAUUUGAUUGAUUUUUCUUUCUUUGAUUUUAGGUUCAAAUGGAGCCGAGGGAAAUUUAAAGGAAAGAUGCGUCCGGCUAAAGACGUUAAAUCAAGCGCUUCUUGGGAGGCAACCCAAGCAUUCAACGAAGGGAGACUUUGGAAUCGCUAACCCAAUCAGCUUUGCAUUCUUCCAACCUUAUCUUUACUGCUUUCAAUUUGUUUUGUUUAGUUAGUUGUGUUAUUUGGUUGAUUUCUGUGAGUUUGUGUUAUUUAGUUUAAGUGUGGGGGAAGGUUAACCAAAGUCUCUUUACAUUAAUUUACAUUUAAAAAGAAAAAAAAAAAAAAAAAAGAUAAAAUUUAAAAUUAAUGAUAAAAAAAAUUACAUAAAAAAAAAAAAAAAUUUAAAAAUUUAAAAAAAAAAAAAAAAAUUUUAAAAAAAAAAAAGUACAAAUAUUUUACAAUAAUGUAAACUAAUAGUAUUCAUUGGUCGGGUGGUGCUUCGGUAGUAGGCGGGGCUUCAGCAGUCGGCGGGGUCACAGAAGGAGGAGGCAGCAGAGGUUGAUCAGUUGGAGCUUCACUACGCGGUGCCGCUCCAGAAGACGAAGGCAGAUGCGGUUGGAACAAACCCACAAACCUCCGAUGAUCAAGUAAAAUUUGACCAUCGGUGUCCUGCAUCUGGUCAAUCUUUCUCUUCAUGCUGGUGGCAUAAUUGUGUGCAAGCUUGUGCAAUUGUUUAUUUUCAUGCUUGAGCCCUUUAAUCUCUUGCUUGAGACUCUGUAUUUCAGCCACCAAGGAUUCAACGUGACGGGUUCGGGCAUAUAGGCGUUGGGCCAUGUUGGAUACGGAACUCGCACACUGCACACUGAGAGCCAGAGACUCCUUAACCGCCAAUUCAUCAGACCGUCUAGCGAGCAGUCUGUUAUCUUUAGGAGUGACAAUGUUCCGGGCCACCACCGCAGCAGUCAUGUCAUUUUUCAUCACCGAAUCCCCCACGGUAAGAGGACCGGUAGGGGAUAUGAAGGAUGGGCGCCAUAUAUUGUCUGGUGAAGGCGGAGCUGCCUCUUCACCAAUGUUCAAGUCAAAACGACGAUCGGAAGGGCCAGACAUUUUUCAGAGGUGGUGAAGAAAGAAGAGAGUCGGAAUGAUCAAGAUUAAACAAGUGCAAGAAGGGAGUGUUUACAGGAGGGUGCUCAAGUGUGUUGUGGAACAAGCUUAACGCCUCUAUAAAAAGAAGAAAUCGGAGAGGCGCUCCUCAGAGAAGCGUCCUCUCGCAAAUCGAAGAGUCGGGGCUCCUUUCUCAAAAGCCGGAUUCUUUUUCUCAAAAGAUGAGUUUCCGUUCUCAAAAACCGGAUUCUUUUCUCAAAAGAGGCGUUUCAUUUCUUAAAGGCUGGGCUUGCUCAGAAACAAUGAGCCGAACCCCGGAUUUCAAAAGAUCAAUUUGUCCAGACGUGUCGUCACUUGUCACACGCAAAUUGCUUUGCGAAAUUCUCGGGCAGUUUGUCGAAGCACCAAUUCAGAAAUCGAAGAGGGAAAUUCAAUAGUCAAAGACACGCUAGCUUUCUCAAAAGCUGGGCUUCAACCCACGGGCAAAUCUUCUUUUCCAGAUUUAUCCGCACGUGUCACAUGCUACCUCUACAAUCGACGAUGCUCAGAGCUCGAAGCGCCGAUUCCAGAUAUCAAUGAGGAAUCUGCUUUGCGGAAAUUACGGGCAGCUUUGUCAGAAAGCGCGUAAUUUGUACUAUUCAUCCAUCUACCGGCUGCCGACAAUGAGUGAGAGAAUAGUUCCGGUUGUGAAGACAAGUCCUUUAAGUAUCUACCUUCGCCUUCCACAGCAAAGGCACACCCUCUCAGCACUUCUUCAUCUCCGAAAAUGCAUUCCCAAAGAAUCCUCCUAAGUCACUCUGUAUUCCUCAUUCCCUGGGAUACCCUUGCUAACAACCCAUCCAGAGCAAAAGUAUUUCAUAUCAUAAAGGUUGAAAGCAAGAGUAUCUCAUAUCAUGCUUUCUCCAUGUCCUUCUCCUUGUCUUUGUUUUCCGACAAGGAGAAAGAGAGCAAUCAGCCAGCAUUUGGUAUCAAUCUUCCGAUCUGGAGCCAACUGCCUGGAACCCCUUCCUGAUUGCUUACCUAGCCUUGCUCUCGAGUACUCAUCUUCUUCAUCUUAUGCUUCCGUUUUGUCUACCACAUCUACUUGGGGGACAAGUAAGGGAGGUGAAAAUGAUACCUCGAAGCAUGUGGAGACAAUUCAGCUAGGGACAAGGAGAAAGAAAGCAAGAGGUGGGCACUUGGAAAGAUUGAAGAAAGAAACAGACCAACACCUCUACCUUGUGCCUGCCCGCCGUGCAGAGGAAACAAGCAGAGAAGAAUGCAAACUGUGCAAUCCUCGCUCAGAAUUCCAAAUCAGUUCGAGAUCAAAGCUGUGGAAAGUCAACAAGCACGACCAAUGAUCAUUUAUUAGUUUUAUUCAUUAUCUUUUAUCGUAAUUUUCAAUUUUUCGUUUGCAAUUUUUUUAUUUUUUUUUAAUUAAUUUUCUUGCGUUACUUAACUGAAUUAUUUCUUUUCUUUGCAGGAACUUUUGGUUCUUUCCACCCUUGAAGUUGAUUGCAGAAUUUUAGCUUGGGGUCAUCGCUUGAUUUUACUGCAAAUUAGGGAAGUUUUCAGUCCCAUUGUUUUAUUUUGUUUCUUAUUAUUUAUUUAUUUUAUUUUUAUUUGCAUUAUAGUGUUUUCUGACAUUGGGGACAAUGUCCGGUUUAAGUUUGGGGGUAAAGAGUAUAAAAAAUGACCAAAUUAAAAUUUUUUGUACCUUCGACUACGAACUGGUUUCAUUUGUUUCUAUGUUGUUGUUUUUUGUUUUCUUAAAAAAAAAAAAAAAAAAAAAUUUAAAAAUUAAAAAAAUUAAAAAAAUCGGAAAAUUUAAAAAUCCAAAAAUAUUGUCUUGUUUCCCUUAUUGUUUUGAAUUAGAUUUUUGUUAGUUUCCCGACCCAAUGAUAUAAUUAGAUCAAAUUUGAAUCACGAUUAUCAAGAACUUAGUUAACAUGUGUUUUAUGAAAUUCCUAAUUCUCUUGUUAGUUUUGUACAUGUUUGACCAUCUUUGAAAAACCAAAUGCACAUAGCCUUGUUAAUGUGAAACUAAAGUAUGACUUAAAGCUUCAUAUGUGAAUUUAGUGACCAUAUACAUCCUAUGUGAGUUUUUGAGCCGAUUGAAAGUGUGUGCAUUUUUCAUACACUCCUAUUCUUUUAUGUGUGAUGAACUUAUGUGAGAUACAUCUCUAGAACUUGCGUAACGAUCUUUCGAAAUGUUUGUCAUUGAUUGCUUGAACUUGGAAAUGAUAGAGGCAUUAGGUUUACCACUAUGGCCCAAAUAACCAUGUUUCCCAAAGAAAAAUGAUAUCAUUAGUUUGCCAAUUUGAGCCGUGUUUGUUGAGCCUUUUAUUUCUUAUCACCAGAUAUGUCUACCCUUAUACCUGAAACAUUUUUCCUUACCCUUUCCAAGCGAGCAAUGCGAGAUUGUCUUAUGAGAAACGUUUGUGAAAUACUGUGAAGAUGUUUGGCAAAAGAAUAAGUGUGGGGGUAUUUCAUGUUUGUGAAUUAAAAAAAAAAAAAAAAAAAAAAAAAAAAAAAGAAAAAAAAAAAGAAAAGAUUGUAUAAAAAGAAAAUAAAAAGUUUUUUAAAGUUUCAGUUUAAGAGUAUGGUUGGAGGUGCUAGAAGAAUUGCUGGAGAGCUUGAGUUCUUAUAAAUCUAAAGAAAAGAAUUGCUUGCAAUGUAGCUUGGAACUUGUGUUUACCUAUUCUUUCAUUUCAAUAACCCUCUCCCUAAACCUCAUUACAUCCAAUAAAAGUCCUCUUGAUUUAAGUUUUGCAAUUAUGAUUGUGGAGAUGAGAUCUUUAUGCAAGCUUAUGGUAGAAAUUUCACAUUUGAUUCUUUGAGCGAAACACAUUUAAACUAAACACAUGUGUGAUUGAGUGUAUAUCCCGUGAGAAGGUUGCUAGUUUGCAUAUGAUGAUUUUAAAAAUAUAAAAAUUUUGAAAUUGCAUUAGCAUGGCUAUCUCACACACUACACUUCAAGGAUGAUUUAAAGAUUACUGCUAAUAUUUGAAUAAGGAAGAUGAACUUGGAUUAGUUCAUUGAUGCUAGCGAUGGUUCUUGAUGAUUUGUUUUCUUAAAUGAAAUUCUAUGAGGGUCACAUAGGGGGAAGCUAAUGUUUUUCUUGUUACUUCUUGUUCUUGUUUUCUUUGUUUUGCUCGAGGACUAGCAAAAGCUAAGUAUGGGGGUAUUUGAUCGGAUCAUAUUUAUAUAUAUUUUUACUUCAAAUUCACUCGUCUUUUCUUAGUUAGUUCCUUAUAUUUUUGAGCUAUUUACGUUAUUUUUGUGUUUAUAGGAUUUGUUAUGCAAAGAAAAUAAAAAUAGAACAAGUGAAAUUUUAUGUAAUAAAUUCGUCAAAACUGUCUGUGUAGAUCAGCUUUUAAAUUAAAUUAAAAAAAAAUAUAUAAUAAUGAUAAGUCAUGAUGAUGUUUGAAACAUCAUCAUGAUGGUUUUGUUUUGUAGAAGAAAAGAAAGGAACGGAUGGAGAAGAAGAAAAGAAAGGAAUAAAAAAAGAAAAGAAGGAAUAAAAAAAAAUUAAAAGAAGAAUAAGAGGAGGACACGGGCAGACUGGUGGAAGGAGGGAAAUAGAAUAAGAAAAUAAAGAAAAAGAGAAGAGUGCGGGAUAAGAAGCAGUGGAGGGUGGUUUGAAAAGAAAAUAAAAAAAUAGAAAUAAAGGGGACAAGUGGGAGAAAUACUGACAGAUAAAAAGAAUAAAAGAGGAGGAACGCGGAAAGGAAUGAGGGGGAGAAAGGGGCUGCCCUUUGGGCAGCUCGCAGAGACGCAGGAAGGAGAGAAGCUCGCAGGGACGCAAGGCAGUGUGACGCGGGUAGACUGACGGAAGGGGAAAUAAUAUAGGAGCAGGAGAGAGGAGGCGCGGAAGUGGAAGGCAGAGAGCUGCCUUUGGGCAGCGUGAGAAGGCGAGAGGAGAGAGGUCAGGGGAGGGCAGACUUGAUUUGAGGGAGCUGCCAGCGCAGCUGGGGAAGAAGGCUGCCCUUGCAGCUGGAGCAAAACCGAAAGAAGGGUGCGCUGCUCUUGGCAGCACCGAGGGCAGAAAAUGGCAGCGCACGGACAAACAGACAGCUCUUCUCUCCUCUCGGUUAAAUCUUUCCAACUUAUGUUUUACUUUCGGUUUAAUUUUUCCAAACUUCUCUUUUAUUUCUGUUUUUAAUAAUGUGUAAUUAAAUUUAUGUUGGUUAGAGGUUAAUUCGAAACCAUGAAUAUAUUUGUAAUAUGAAUUGAUUACCUUCGGUUGUGAUUUCAUAAGUUGUGAUUUCAAUUUACUUAUCCGUUCGUAUAAAAACUGAUUUGUGUAUGUUGGUUGAGAGUGCACGCUUAAUUUACAUGCAUGAAUUUGAUGCUAGAAUAUAAGUGAAUUUCACCUAAUCGUUAUGAACUUAUUUUCACAAGUAGUAAAGGUUGCUAGUCACAAUCACGUUAAGUAAAUUCUUGGCAAGAGUAUCAUGCUUUUCAUAGUUACGAAUGCCUCGUCAAUACUUAUAGUUUUCACAAAGUUUAAUGAUCUUUGAUUGUAUCUCUAUUGUGCUUUUCACGUAGGGGACUUUUGAAGAAUGUUUUGAAUUGUUGUAUGCGUUUUCCCGUCCAAUUCAAUAACUUAAGGAAAACUUGAAGAUUAAAAAAGUGCUGUUCACGGUUAAUCUGGAGUAUUGAAAUUCACAAUUUAAUAAAUGAACAACUGGAAAUCAUUUUGUAUGCAAGUAUAACAUGUGUGAAGAAGAACCCUCUAGCUAGUCCGUCAUUUAUCAUUUUACCUUAAUUUUAUGUUUUUAUCAAUUCUGUAAUUUAAUUAAGUUUAAUUUACUUUUCAUCAAAACCAAACACCCAUCCAUUAUUAAAUUAUAUUAUUUAGUUAGUUUGCUUUAUUGUUAGUCUUUUAAUUUAAUUUCCGUCCAUUUCAGUUCUUAGUGUCUAAUCAGAUCAUUUUCAUUAUUUUGAGUCAUCCUAAGUGUGUUUC
rnacentral:lncRNA from 1 species